AGAGUUUGAUCAUGGCUCAGGAUGAACGCUAGCGGCGCGCCUAAUGCAUGCAAGUCGAGCGAUGAGGUCUUUCGGGGCCAUCAGCGGCAAACGGGUGAGUAACACAUGGGUAACCUGCCUUCAAGCCGGGGAUAACGGAUGGAAACGUUCGCUAAUACCCGAUGCGUACGCUUAAGAGGAGACUGUGAGCGUAGAAAGUUACGGCGCUUGGAGAGGGGCCCGUGGCCUAUCAGCUUGUUGGUGGGGUAGUGGCCUACCAAGGCUUUGACGGGUAGCCGGCCUGAGAGGGCGACCGGCCACAUUGGGACUGAGAUACGGCCCAGACUCCUACGGGAGGCAGCAGUGGGGAAUAUUGCACAAUGGGCGGAAGCCUGAUGCAGCAACGCCGCGUGCGGGAUGACGGCCUUCGGGUUGUAAACCGCUUUCACCCAUGACGAAGCUUUUGUGACGGUAGUGGGGGAAGAAGCACCGGCCAACUACGUGCCAGCAGCCGCGGUGAUACGUAGGGUGCGAGCGUUGUCCGGAAUUAUUGGGCGUAAAGAGCUUGUAGGCGGUUGAUCGCGUCGAUAGUGAAAUCCCGGGGCUUAACUUCGGGCUUGCUUUCGAUACGGGUUGACUUGAGGAAGGUAGGGGAGAAUGGAAUUCCCGGUGGAGCGGUGGAAUGCGCAGAUAUCGGGAGGAACACCAGUGGCGAAGGCGGUUCUCUGGACCUUUCCUGACGCUGAGAAGCGAAAGCGUGGGGAGCAAACAGGCUUAGAUACCCUGGUAGUCCACGCUGUAAACGGUGGGUACUAGGUGUGGGUCACAUUCCACGUGGUCCGUGCCGUAGCUAACGCAUUAAGUACCCCGCCUGGGGAGUACGGCCGCAAGGCUAAAACUCAAAUGAAUUGACGG
rnacentral:rRNA from 1 species